GACGAACGCUGGCGGCGUGCCUAAUACAUGCAAGUCGAGCGCAGGAAAUCAUCUGAACCCUUCGGGGGGACGUUGAUGGAAUGAGCGGCGGACGGGUGAGUAACACGUAAAGAACCUGCCCUCAGGUCUGGGAUAACCACGAGAAAUCGGGGCUAAUACCGGAUGGGUCAUCGGACCGCAUGGUCCGUUGAUGAAAGGCGCUCCGGCGUCACCUUGAGAUGGCCUUGCGGUGCAUUAGCUAGUUGGUGGGGUAACGGCCCACCAAGGCGACGAUGCAUAGCCGACCUGAGAGGGUGAUCGGCCACACCGGGACUGAGACACGGCCCAGACUCCUACGGGAGGCAGCAGUAGGGAAUCUUCCACAAUGGACGAAAGUCUGAUGGAGCAACGCCGCGUGAGUGAUGAAGGUUUUCGGAUCGUAAAACUCUGUUGUAAGGGAAGAACACGUACGAGAGGGAAUGCUCGUACCUUGACGGUACCUUACGAGAAAGCCACGGCUAACUACGUGCCAGCCGCCGCAGUAAAAC
rnacentral:rRNA from 1 species